UUAAAACUUAUAAUAUUAUUCAAGACAACACAAAAAUCAAGAGUUUAGGGUCCUCUGGCAGGCACGGACCAGCCUAAAAGCCGGUGGUCAAGAGACAGGCCUGCCAAAGCAACAAAGGUAAUAUAAACAAAGGGUGGGAGAUCUACCCUAAAGGGCAAUUUCUCUGUAAUGAUCCUUCCGCAGGUUCACCUACGGAACACUAUAGUCUACAACCUUUUCAGAGGUAGGCCGGUCAUAUCUGAAUCCAAGACAGGUUGACCCUCUUUGGACCACCUUCGUUUGAUCUGUGGACUGCUAUACGCAGCUGCAUGUUACCCUGACAGUAUCCAAGCACAGUGAAGAUGUUGCCUACGUGGUAGACUUGUAUCCAAGGCUUCUGCAGGUGGUGUUCUGCAAGAGAAA
rnacentral:misc_RNA from 1 species